CCUUGAUGGUGUAGGCACAUAACUUCAAAAAGGAAAUGUUCACCACCAAACCUUCCAGCCUGUUGGCACACACCAUCCACACAAUCAGCAAU
rnacentral:lncRNA from 1 species